rnacentral:tRNA from 1 species
GGGCUCGUAGUUUAGCUGGCUUGAACAUCUCGCUGGCAGCGAGAAGGUCGGGGGUUCGAGUCCCCCCGAGUCCA